GGUAUGCAGAUGAGUCCCAAAUAGGACGAAAUGUGCAUCCAUUGC
rnacentral:hammerhead_ribozyme from 1 species